rnacentral:tRNA from 1 species
GGAGACUUAGUUCAAUGGUAGAAUGCUUGCCUAGCAAGCAUGGGGUUCUGGGCUCAAUCCCCAGUAUCUA